GUUGUCUAUGUAGGUUCAAGGUCACCUCAUGAGAAAUCACAUAGCAUGGAAGGUGUAAGGUUCUACUACCUCUAAUUGUAACUUUGAUUGGGUAUUAGCACAUAUCUUGGAGCAGCUCCCAUUGUUGAAUGUUUGGAAAAGCACCAACCUAAUGUAGUAAUAACUUCUCAUGUUGCAGAUGCUGCCUUAUUUUUGGUGCCAAUGAUAUAUGAACUGGGUUGGAACUGGGACAAUUUAGAACUUCUAGCACAGGGCAGAAACUUCAUGUUAUGAUAAAUGGCAGUGUUUCUGCCAGUUUAGUCAUGGUGCAUUUGAUUGAGAAAUUAGCUGCUGGUGAUACUGGAAGUUUAUCUGUAUCAAUACUUCACAAGAUGAGCACCAUGUCUAAAAAGGUUUGCUGCUUCCCUUUUAAGAUUGGUAUAGUUAGUUUAGAUAAAUAGUUUAGGCAUGUUGUCCUAAAUUAAUUGGGAAGUAUUGAGCUCUUUGAGGGCUCAUUUUAACUAAAAUCUUAACUGGAACUUGUUCACUUUCUUUCAGUUUUUCAUAAAUUUUAGGUAGCAUAAUAUCUCUGUUUUUUUUUAAUUCCAUUUGCAGCUUAA